CACAACAACCUAGAGAAGCCUGUCUAAUAACCGAUACUCCACGAUUAACCCAACCCACUCUAGCCUACCAGUCUAUAUACCACCGUCGCCAGAUUACCUUGUGAAAGAAAUAAAGUAAACCUAAUAGGCCACCCCUAGCACGACAGGUCGAGGUGUAACUGAUGAGCGGGUAAAGGAUGGGCUACAUUUUCUAAAACAGAAAACACGAAUAAACUAUGAAACUAGAAACUGAAGGCGGAUUUAGCAGUAUGCUAUGAACAAACUACUUAACUGAAGCUAAUGCAAUGAAGUGCGUACACACCGCCCGUCAUCCCUGUUAUAAACAACAAAAAUUUUAUAAAUCACCACACUCUCUUAAAGCAGGGCAAGUCGU
rnacentral:rRNA from 1 species